CAGUGGUCAGAGCAUGC
rnacentral:misc_RNA from 1 species